CUGAGCUGAGCUGAGCUGUGCUGAGCUAACCAGGGCCUGGACGGGCAGGG
rnacentral:miRNA from 1 species